CACCCAGAAGCAGAUCAAUCUGAACCUACAAGUCCUGAUCCGAGCCCACCUGAGCAACCGAAACAGACUGUUCAUUCUUUCUGUAAAAUUUUAACGGCAUCUGAUACUAGCACCCAUGGAGGGUUUUCUGUUCUUCGGAAGCAUGCCAACGAAUGCCUGCCACAAUUGGACAUGACCCAGUCAACCCCAACCCAGGAUUUGGUUGCCAAAGAUCUUCAUGGGCAUGAGUGGCGAUUUAAGCAUAUAUUCAGAGGCAAGUCCCACCCUUCUUGCCAUUUGCUUCGUGCCUUUUUGCCAUGUUGUC